GGAAUAGGAGCCCCCAGAGACGUCCCUGUGCUGAGCCCUGGGACCUGUGCGUGUGUUCCCAUAGCUGGCAAAAGCGUUUCUGUCAAUGGCAUGCAGUUACGGGCUUCGAGAUGGGGAGUUUACUCUGGAUUUUCUGAAUGGGCCCAAUGUACUCACAGGGUUGAGUGCUCACAAGGCUCAUAAGAAAAAGAGAGAGGCGGAAGGCUCAGAGCCAGAGAGAGAGGUUUGAAGGUAUUACACUGCUGGCUUUGAAGAUGAAGGUCCGUGAGCCAAGGAAUGCAGGCGGCCUCUAGAAGUUGAAAAGGGCGAGGAAAGAGUUUCCCUGUGGAGCGUCCUGGAGGAAGAAGCCCUGCUGAUGUCUUGAUUUUAGCCCAGUAAGACCCAAUCUCUAGAACAGUAAGAUAAUUAAUUUGUGUUGUUUUUAACCACUAAGUUUGUGGUUAUGCCCCUAGAGCAGCAGUUAUAGGAAACUAGUACAGUGAUACUGUUAGAGUUAUAGGACAGUGAUAUAGGACAGUGAUACUGUUAUAGUUAUAGGAAACUAGUACAGUGAUACUGUUAGAGUUAUAGGACAGUGAUAUAGGACAGUGAUAUUGUUAUAGUUAUAGGAAACUAGUACAGUGAUACUGUUAGAGUUAUAGGUACAGUGACAUAGGACAGUGAUACUGUUAUAGUUAUAGGAAACUAGUACAGUGAUACUGUUAGAGUUAUAGGUAGAGUGAUAUAGGACAGUGAUACUGUUAUAGUUAUAGAAAACUAGUACAGUGAUACUGUUAUAGUUAUAGGACAGUGAUAUAGGACAGUGAUAUUGUUAUAGUUAUAGGAAACUAGUACAGUGAUACUGUUAGAGUUAUAGGUACAGUGAUAUAGGACAGUGAUAUUGUUAUAGUUAUAGGAAACUAGUACAGUGAUACUGUUAGAGUUAUAGGUACAGUGAUAUUGUUAUAGUUAUAGGAAACUAGUACAGUGAUACUGUUAUAGGUACAGUGAUAUAGGACAGUGAUACUGUUAUAGGAAACUAGUACAGUGAUACUGUUAGAGUUAUAGGUACAGUGACAUAGGACAGUGAUACUGUUAUAGUUAUAGGAAACUAGUACAGUGAUACUGUUAGAGUUAUAGGUACAGUGAUAUAGGACAGUGAUACUGUUAUAGUUAUAGGAAACUAGUACAGUGAUACUGUUAUAGUUAUAGGACAGUGAUAUUGUUAUAGUUAUAGGAAACUAGUACAGUGAUACUGUUAGAGUUAUAGGUACAGUGAUAUAGGACAGUGAUAUUGUUAUAGUUAUAGGAAACUAGUACAGUGAUACUGUUAUAGUUAUAGGACAGUGAUAUAGGACAGUGAUAUUGUUAUAGUUAUAGGAAACUAGUACGGUGAUACUGUUAUAGUUAUAGGUACAGUGAUAUUGUUAUAGUUAUAGGAAACUAGUACAGUGAUACUGUUAGAGUUAUAGGUACAGUGAUAUAGGACAGUGAUAUUGUUAUAGUUAUAGGAAACUAGUACAGUGAUACUGUUAUAGUUGUAGGACAGUGAUAUUGUUAUAGUUAUAGGAAACUAGUACAGUGAUACUGUUAGAGUUAUAGGUACAGUGAUAUAGGACAGUGAUACUGUUAUAGUUAUAGGACAGUGAUAUUCUUAUAGUUACCGUGGUAUAGUUAUAGUUAAAGGUACAGUGAUAUUGUUAUAGUUAUAGGACAGUGAUAUUGUUAUAGUUAUAGGACAGUGAUGUAGUUACAGUGAUAUAGGUACAGUGAUAUUGUUAUAGUUAUAGGACAGUGAUAUAGUUAUAGGACAGUGAUAUUGUUACAGUUAUAGGUACAGUGACGUUGUAAUAGUUAUAGGACAGUGAUAUUGUUAUAGUUAUAGGUACAGUGAUGUUGUAGCAAAACUGUAAGGUCAUUCCUUGGUUGUGUCCCUAUCUAGUGAAAUGACUCUACCAGGGGUAGGGAAAUAAAACUCUGUCGUUUCACACA